AGGACAAUACUUUCAGGGAUCAUUUCUGUAGGAUUCAAAGGGAGAAAUGUGCUCGAAAGUGUCCAAACUCAACUUCCACGAUGAUGAAUUUUAGGGUUCUUGUCUCGUUAGUCGUUAUGACUCCUGCUGGCAGUGCUGCUAUGUGCAGGUGCUGCCACCAUUUGAUGACUUGGUCAUCUUUCUAGGUGGGAAGAUGGCAGACGGGAGCUCAUUCAGAGUGAA